AUUGAACGCUGGCGGAAUGCUUUACACAUGCAAGUCGAGCGGCAGCGCGGCCUUCGGGCUGGCGGCGAGCGGCGAACGGGUGAGUAAUGCAUCGGAACAUGCCCAGUCGUGGGGGAUAACACUUCGAAAGAAGUGCUAAUACCGCAUACGUCCUGAGGGGGAAAGCGGGGGAUCGCAAGACCUCGCGCGAUUGGAGUGGCCGAUGUCAGAUUAGCUAGUUGGUGGGGUAAAGGCCUACCAAGGCGACGAUCUGUAGCUGGUCUAAGAGGAUGAUCAGCCACACUGGGACUGAGACACGGCCCAGACUCCUACGGGAGGCAGCAGUGGGGAAUUUUGGACAAUGGGGGCAACCCUGAUCCAGCCAUUCCGCGUGAGUGAAGAAGGCCUUCGGGUUGUAAAGCUCUUUCGGCAGGAACGAAACGGUGGGCUCUAACAUAGUCCGCUAAUGACGGUACCUGAAGAAGAAGCACCGGCUAACUACGUG
rnacentral:rRNA from 1 species